AUGCAUGUUCAACUAGCAAAUUAUGGCCAUCUAAGUAUUUAUUUACGGAACCUUGCAACUAUGAAUGGACAAAUCAAUGGGAAGAUAAUUUUGUUGGACCAACCAUAUGAUUGCUUUAGUAAAAACUUUCAGCAAGUAGAUAAUAGUAAUUCAGGUAAAGUUUCAUUUAUGUGUGCAAAAUAUGAAAUGGACAAGUCACCUUCUCAAGUAGUUUGGGGAUGUCCCUUGGGAAGUAGUACUUGCUUACUCGAUUUUGUUUGUAGUUCGAACUUGGACCUUAGAAGGGUGAUUUUGCUAGAUUGGAGUUGUGUCUGGUUCAGUAGAGGUUAA
rnacentral:rRNA from 1 species